UGACCUAGCCUCCUCCUCGAGCGCCGUCCGCCGCCGCCUACCCUCCGCGGCUGCUGACCACCCCCGCCACACCCCAAUGCCACCUGCAUCCCCGACCAUGCCACCCCAGUGCCAUCCCCUCCCAGACCACUCCCCCGAGCUUCCUCCGCCGCCCCGACCACUCCCCCGAGCUCCCUCUGCCGCCCCGACCACCAUUCGCCACCAGCCCUGCCGCUCGCUGGAGAUCCUCCAUCGAGCAGCGCCUUCGCUUCCAGGAGAUCCUGCUCGAGAAGCGUCGCCGCUUCCAGGAGCUGCUACCCUGAGCAGCGUCGCUGUUUCCAGAAGCUCCUUCCCGCCACGUGUUCGUCCCCUCCCCGAAGAGCGCCGACUACAUCCUCUCCCCCGAGCAGAUGCCGCUUCUGCGUUCUUUCACACGAGCAGUGCCGCGUCUACUACAUCGGGGUCUCCUCUACUUCCUCACUCCAACCCGUGAGAUUUCUCUUUGUCUUAUGAGGUUUAUUAGUCUCAGGUAUAUGUUUUGUGAUGUGUGAUAUGUGGACAGAACAAGAGCUAUAGUUUGUGAUAAUUUCUUGAAUCAUUAGAUAGAAACUACUUAAAAUAGAGUUUAAAGAAAUAAGGCGAAGAGAGUAGACUCCAAAAUGAAUGAGAUUUAAUUGAAUCAUCAGAUGGAAAGUGAGGUACUGAAAGCAGAUCGUAACCAUAUGUGUAGGCGUUUCAGAAUUCAAUAUGUUACUUGCAUCUUAGGAUUUAUGGAAUGCAGAUUGCUCUGUACUUUUAUGAGCAAGUCAGUAUUAUUACACACUACAGCCUUUUCAGUUAAAGCUAGACCAAGAAAAGCAAAGUGGCAUCUCUGCCUCUAAAUUUUAUUUUCCAUAGUCAAUAAAUUAGAAGGGGCUAGUACCUUUAAUAACAUGAAUGCGGAUUAUGUAAAGCUAGCUAGGCCAUACAUACACUUCCUAUCUCAGUCAUACAUUGGGCAAACUUUUUGUUUGGAUAUGUACUGCACUGGUUGUGCUUUGGAAGUCACUACAGAAAAUUGUAACAAUUGCGAGUUUUGUUCUGAGAAGAUUUGUGAAUAGUUCGCAGUUCUAGGCCAAUUGUUUGGGCUAUCUCAAAAUAUGGCAUUUAGCUUGGAGGAGACCGUAUCAUGUGCAGAAUUCUAGGCCCUCUGUUCUAAUUUCUUCCAUAGGUAAGUUAUUAUUGCAUAGAUGUGAUGUGAACAAGAACUGAUGUACCAAUCCGACUCACACCCAUGCAUGUACAGCUUCAGGAUAUGAAUGUGAUUAUCCGAGGAUCCAUGUUGCUUAAAUUCUUUCAUUUAUCAUGGUUGUACCGUUGAUUUGGUCCUUCAAUUUGAAUUUUAAAUUAUGUAAUUAGUCUUUGUCUCCUUUGAGAAGCGCGCCUCCUCCUCGUCCUCUCCACCAAGCAGCGCUGCUUUGACUACGUUGACUGCCCGGGGUAGCACCUCAUCUACAUCUUCGCGCCAAAGCAGCGUUUCCUAACCUCUAAUUCUUCGCCCAAGCAGCACCGCCUACGCCCUCUGCUUCACCGCCCGAUCAGCCCCGCCUCCUCUCCUUCUCAACCAACGGCAAGCUGCCAAAGAGAAAGAACAAGAUGCCGAGGUCCUGCGGUGGCUACGGUGGGGCGCACUGGUGUAGCCCAUGCGAGCGACACGGGAGUGAGCGACCAGGAACCAAAAGAUGCUGCCAGUAUUUAGUAGUCAGGUCAGCAAACCUGUCUUGGUAGUUCCAUCACCGAAACGAGGUACCAUAUGGAUUUGUUCUCUCUUCUAGUAGAUAAUCCAGAUUGAUAUUAUUUUUCGCGUGAUUUUGUGCUGAUGUGUGAUCCAGAAUUUGGACACAUACCCAUGUGCUAGAAUGAUCUGGUGUAGCUUGUUUAAUCAAUGCUAGACCAGUUUACAUGUACUUCUGAAUUUUUCAUCGGUUGUACUUGCAUAUUGGAAUGAAGGUGCUAAAGUUUAGCAACUCAUACAUUUUACUUCUUUAUUUC